rnacentral:rRNA from 1 species
CCUACGGGUGGCAGCAGUAGGGAAUCUUCCACAAUGGGCGAAAGCCUGAUGGAGCAACGCAGCGUGGGUGAAGAAGGUCUUCGGAUCGUAAAACCCUGUUGUUAGAGAAGCAAGUGCGUGAGAGUAACUGUUCACGUUUCGACGGUAUCUAACCAGCACGCCACGGCUAACUACGUCACACCAGCCGCGGUAAUACGGAGGUGGCAAGCGUUAUCCGGUUUUAUUGUGCGUAAAGGGAGCGCAGACGGUCUUUUAAGUCUGAUGUGAAAGCCUUCGGCUUAACCGGAGUAGUGCAUUGGUAACUGGGAGACUUGAGUGCAGAAGAGGAGAGUGGAACUCCAUGUGUAGCGGUGAAAUGCGUAGAUAUAUGGAAGAACACCAGUGGCGAAGGCGGCUCUCUGGUCUGUAACUGACGCUGAUGUUCGAAAGCGUGGGUAGCAAACAGGAUUAGAUACCCUUGUAGUC